ACCUACGGGAGGCAGCAGUGGGGAAUAUUGCACAAUGGGCGCAAGCCUGAUGCAGCGACGCCGCGUGAGGGAUGAAGGCCUUCGGGUUGUAAACCUCUUUCAGCAGGGAAGAAGCGUGAGUGACGGUACCUGCAGAAGAAGCACCGGCUAACUACGUGCCAGCAGCCGCGGUAAUACGUAGGGUGCGAGCGUUGUCCGGAAUUAUUGGGCGUAAAGAGCUCGUAGGCGGCCUGUCGCGUCGGAUGUGAAAGCCCGGGGCUCAACCCCGGGUCUGCAUUCGAUACGGGCAGGCUGGAGUUCGGCAGGGGAGAUCGGAAUUCCUGGUGUAGCGGUGAAAUGCGCAGAUAUCAGGAGGAACACCGGUGGCGAAGGCGGAUCUCUGGGCCGAUACUGACGCUGAGGAGCGAAAGCGUGGGGAGCGAACAGGAUUAGAUACCCUGGUAGC
rnacentral:rRNA from 1 species